GACUAAUUCCAGGACACAAAAAGGAUCACUUUUUCCUCCUAAGUCAGCGGCAGCAAGCCCUUGUGCUCUAUAGACCUAAAAGAGAAAAUUCUUCAUUAAGAACGUGGAUAUUUAUUUGAAAUAAAUUUUUAAAAAGAAUAAAUAAUAAAUAGCAAAAGUACUAACUUUAACAGUAAGAUGCCCAACAUCUCGGGGUCUUUGCAACGAAUUCCAGAGGGAAUAUCUAUCUUCGACCCGACCGCGUUCCUGAGGAGUUUCUUCAUGGGCAGCAAGAUCACUAAUAGUUUCGCUGGCAGUCGUACCGCUGAUA